rnacentral:rRNA from 1 species
UGAACGCUGGCGGCGUGCCUAACACAUGCAAGUGAACGAAGCACUUUGAUUGAUUCUUUGGAUGAAUGAUAAGUGACUGAGUGGCGGACGGGUGAGUAACGCGUGAGUAACCUGCCUUACANAGGGGGACAACAUUGGAAACGACUGCUAAUACCGCAUAAUAUACCAUUUGGGCAUCCAAGAGGUAUCAAAGGAGCAAUCCGCUGAAAGAUGGACUCGCGUCCCAUUAGAUAGUUGGUGAGGUAACGGCUCACCAAGUCGACGAUGGGUAGCCGGACUGAGAGGUUGAACGGCCACAUUGGGACUGAGACACGGCCCAGACUCCUACGGGAGGCAGCAGUGGGGGAUAUUGCACAAUGGAGGAAACUCUGAUGCAGCAACGCCGCGUGAGGGAAGAAGGUUUUCGGAUUGUAAACCUCUGUUUUUAGUGAAGAAUCAAUGACGGUAGCUAAAGAGGAAGCCACGGCUAACUACGUG